ACCAGACAAAGACAAAGUGGAACAAGAGCUAUGCAUUGCUGCAGCUAACCAGCAGCUCAGCAAACUCUGAGCUGCCAUCCACAAAAUGAUUUUUGCCAUGUUCUACCAACGAAGCAACUCACUAGCUAUGCUGUAAAUGAAGUCUGUUUUCUGUGGUCUUGCAUGUUUUACUUUGGAAAAAUUAAAAGACCAGAAUGAACAUUCAGAUACAAAUUAGGAAUGUGUGAGAGUGGCUGGUUUCAUGGAGGUCACGGAGGUUCCAGUAAUGAGCUUUAUUAAACUGCUGAGAUUAAUACAAUCUGCCAGACCUCAAGCUAGACUCCUUCAUUCCAAACUACCUACAAAACACCCACACAUAUUGAAGAGCAACACCUCACAGUCAUUCCACAUGCAUCUCUGGGUAGCAAUUUGGACUUCAUAAACCUCCUUAUUUUCAACUACUUCAGUAUGCCUUCUGAAAGCCUUAGUUGAUCAACAAGAAUCUGCAAGCAUUCUAAUCUAAGCAGAUGACAGUUUCAGAACUGCCGUUUGUUUUUUCUAAAAAAAAUUUUCUUUUCCAGUUCAUGGCAGGGCUGAUCAAGGGCAGU